rnacentral:rRNA from 1 species
UAGAGACUCAGAGCUGCAUAUCAAUAAGCGGAGGAAAAGAAACUAACAAGGAUUCCCUUAGUAACGGCGAGUGAAGCGGGAAGAGCUCAAAUUUGAAAUCUUCAAGGUUUUACCUUGACGAAUUGUAGUUUAAAGAAGUGUUUUCUGUUGGAGUUUUGGUAAAAGUUCUUUGGAAUAGGACAUCAUAGAGGGUGAGAAUCCCGUAUUUGACCAUUAUUUCCAGCUGUGUGAUACACUUUCAAAGAGUCGGAUUGUUUGGGAAUGCAGUCCAAAAUGGGUGGUAAAUUUCAUCUAAAGCUAAAUAUUGGCGAGAGACCGAUAGCGAACAAGUACCGUGAGGGAAGGAUGAAAAGAACUUUGAAAAGAGAGUUAAACAGUACGUGAAAUUGUCUAAAGGGAAGCGUUUGACACCAGUGUUGUUUCGUCGAAAAUCAAUUAAAGAAUGAUGGAUUUAUGUAGUUGUAUUAGACUUUAUCAGGCUUACUGCACUUUAGUUCUUGAGCUUUUUUAAUGCACUUUUCAGUUAACAAGUCAACAUCAAUUUCUUUUGUUGUAAAAGAGGUCAUUGGAAGGUGGCUUUUCAUUUCGGUGAAAAGUGUUUAUAGCCUUUGACUUCUGCAAUCGGAGAGAUUGAGGUCUGCAGCGUAGAUCCUUCGGGGUUAGAUACAUUUGUGCUAAGCUAUAGUUCUUUCAUAGACAACAUUGUUGACUAUGAUCAAUCCUGUAGCUUACUCGCUUAUGCUAUUUUACCUACGCUUAGGAUGUUGAGUAGCGACAUACGCAC